GGUUUACACUUGAUCUCUGAACUUCAGGUAAGUUCAUAUGUUGACAAGUACAUGUGCCGAUGCU